rnacentral:rRNA from 1 species
GACGAACGCUGGCGGCGUGCUUAACACAUGCAAGUCGAACGGAAAGGCCCUGCUUUUGUGGGGUGCUCGAGUGGCGAACGGGUGAGUAACACGUGAGUAACCUGCCCUUGACUUUGGGAUAACUUCAGGAAGCUGGGGCUAAUACCGGAUAGGAGCUCCUGCUGCAUGGUGGGGGUUGGAAAGUUUCGGCGGUUGGGGAUGGACUCGCGGCUUAUCAGCUUGUUGGUGGGGUAGUGGCUUACCAAGGCUUUGACGGGUAGCCGGCCUGAGAGGGUGACCGGCCACAUUGGGACUGAGAUACGGCCCAGACUCCUACGGGAGGCAGCAGUGGGGAAUAUUGCACAAUGGGCGGAAGCCUGAUGCAGCAACGCCGCGUGCGGGAUGACGGCCUUCGGGUUGUAAACCGCUUUCGCCUGUGACGAAGCGUGAGUGACGGUAAUGGUUAAAGAAGCACCGGCUAACUACGUG